CCUACGGGCGGCAGCAGUGGGGAAUAUUGGACAAUGGGCGAAAGCCUGAUCCAGCCAUGCCGCGUGUGUGAAGAAGGCCUUCGGGUUGUAAAGCACUUUCAGUGGGGAAGAAAGCCUUGGGGCUAAUACCCUCGAGGAAGGACAUCACCCACAGAAGAAGCACCGGCUAACUCCGUGCCAGCAGCCGCGGUAAUACGGAGGGUGCGAGCGUUAAUCGGAAUUACUGGGCGUAAAGCGCGCGUAGGCGGUCUGAUAAGCCGGUUGUGAAAGCCCCGGGCUCAACCUGGGAACGGCAUCCGGAACUGUCAGGCUAGAGUGCAGGAGAGGAAGGUAGAAUUCCCGGUGUAGCGGUGAAAUGCGUAGAGAUCGGGAGGAAUACCAGUGGCGAAGGCGGCCAUCUGGACUGACACUGACGCUGAGGUGCGAAAGCGUGGGUAGCAAACAGGAUUAGAUACCCCGGUAGUC
rnacentral:rRNA from 1 species